UACGUAGGGUGCAAGCGUUAAUCGGAAUUACUGGGCGUAAAGCGUGCGCAGGCGGCUUUGCAAGACAGAUGUGAAAUCCCCGGGCUUAACCUGGGAACUGCAUUUGUGACUGCAAAGCUAGAGUACGGCAGAGGGGGAUGGAAUUCCGCGUGUAGCAGUGAAAUGCGUAGAUAUGCGGAGGAACACCGAUGGCGAAGGCAAUCCCCUGGGCCUGUACUGACGCUCAUGCACGAAAGCGUGGGUAUCAAACAGG
rnacentral:rRNA from 1 species